CGGAGGGUGCAAGCGUUAUCCGGAUUCACUGGGUUUAAAGAGUGCGUAGGCGGAUUAGAAAGUCCGUUGUGAAAUCUCUGAGCUUAACUCGGAAAUUGCGGUGGAUACUAUUAGUCUUGAAUACUGUGGAGGUUAGCGGAAUAUGUCAUGUAGCGGUGAAAUGCAUAGAUAUGACAUAGAACACCAAUUGCGAAGGCAGCUGGCUACACAGAUAUUGACGCUGAGGCACGAAAGCGUGGGGAUCAAACAGGAUUAGAUACCCUGGUAGUCCACGCCCUAAACGAUGAUUACUCGACAUUUGCGAUACACAGCAAGUGUCUGAGCGAAAGCAUUAAGUAAUCCACCUGGGAAGUACGACCGCAAGGUUG
rnacentral:rRNA from 1 species